AUACUUACCUGGCAGGGGAGAUACCAUGAUCACAAAGGUGGUUUUCCCAGGGCGAGGCUUAUCCAUUGCACUCCUGAUGUGCUGACCCCUGUGAUUUCCCCAAAUGUGGGAAACUCGACUGCAUAAUUUGUGGUAGUGGGGGACUGCGUUCGAGCU
rnacentral:snRNA from 1 species